rnacentral:rRNA from 1 species
ACUUAAAUUGAAGAGUUUGAUCAUGGCUCAGAUUGAACGCUGGCGGCAGGCCUAACACAUGCAAGUCGAGCGGUAGCACAGAGAGCUUGCUCUCGGGNUGACGAGCGGCGGACGGGUGAGUAAUGUCUGGGAAACUGCCUGNAUGGAGGGGGGUAACUACUGGAAACGGUAGCUAAUACCGCAUAACGUCGCAAGACCAAAGUGGGGGACCUUCGGGCCUCAUGCCAUCAGAUGUGCCCAGAUGGGAUUAGCUAGUAGGUGGGGUAACGGCUCACCUAGGCGACGAUCCCUAGCUGGUCUGAGAGGAUGACCAGCCACACUGGAACUGAGACACGGUCCAGACUCCUACGGGAGGCAGCAGUGGGGAAUAUUGCACAAU